CCAGGCGUCGAGUGGCGGACGGGUGAGUAACACAUAGGAAUCUGCCCAGUAGCGGGGGACAACUUGGGGAAACUCAAGCUAAUACCGCAUACGCCCUACGGGGGAAAGCGGGGGACCUUCGGGCCUCGCACUAUUGGAUGAGCCUAUGUCAGAUUAGCUUGUUGGUGGGGUAAUGGCCUACCAAGGCGACGAUCUGUAGCUGGUCUGAGAGGACGAUCAGCCACACUGGGACUGAGACACGGCCCAGACUCCUACGGGAGGCAGCAGUGGGGAAUAUUGCACAAUGGGUGAAAGCCUGAUGCAGCAAUGCCGCGUGUGUGAAGAAGGCCUGCGGGUUGUAAAGCACUUUCAGUGGGGAGGAAACAGUUGCGGGUUAAUAUCCCGCGACCUUGACGUUACCCACAGAAGAAGCACCGGCUAACUCCGUGCCAGCAGCCGCGGUAAUACGGGGGUGGCUAGCGUUAUUCGGA
rnacentral:rRNA from 1 species